rnacentral:rRNA from 1 species
GACGUAGGGCGCGAGCGUUGUCCGGAUUUAUUGGGCGUAAAGAGCUCGUAGGCGGCUUGUCGCGUCGACUGUGAAAUCCCGCGGCUCAACCGCGGGUCUGCAGUCGAUACGGGCAGGCUAGAGUUCGGUAGGGGGAGACUGGAAUUCCUGGUGUAGCGGUGAAAUGCGCAGAUAUCAGGAGGAACACCGGUGGCGAAGGCGGGUCUCUGGGCCGAUACUGACGCUGAGGAGCGAAAGCGUGGGGGAGCAAACAGG